rnacentral:lncRNA from 1 species
CAUGAACUGAUCAAGAGAUGAUCCAAGAACAUUUGCAUCAUCAAUUCUUGCUUUGAAAUGCUUCUAAAAACCAAAUUCUUGGUUCUUAUCACAGAUAUAUUCAGUCAGUUUUCUGAUGGAUGCAGCUCAGGGUCUGCUUUUCUAAAAAUUUUCUUGGGUUAUUUUUAAUGCAUUUAAAAUUUUUGAGAAUCAUGGGUAAAGGUGAUAACUAAAGCCUUGUGGUAGAGAAGAUUAUUUGGGAGAAAGCAUAAAGCAUGGAGAGAUUUUUACCAAAUGAACAAGGUUAUAGACAAGAAUGGUAAUGUCUUGCAGAAACUACGGAGUUUGAAAAAACUGUUUAAAGAGGAUAAAAAGGAAGAUUCUUGAGAGUAGAGAAAGUAGUAAUGGGAAGAUAAAAGUUUUACGGAGGUGAGGUGGUGAAGACUUCAGAGAGAGCCACAUCAUGUUUUGUAAAGAGGUUGCCUAAAAAGAGACAGGAAAAGAAUACUGGUUUCAUCAAUUUGUCAGUCAUCACUGACCCUUGAGGCAGUUGUUUCAAUAAACUGAUGGGAGUGAAAAUAAUAUGAUAUCAUAAAGCACUGAAGGAACUGAAGAUUCAGAGAUAAACUAUUUUGAGACUGUUUUCCUUUUAUGGGAGGACGGUAUAUGUUGUUCAUAACUCAGUUUAAUUUCUGUUUCAAAUUCUCAUUCAUCUAAGGAAGAGAACAUGUGAUGUCAGCGGGGGAUUUACCCUGUACUUUACUCUCCUAGAAUGUGCAGCCUCCAACUUUGUGUUCAGGUGGGUCCAGGCAGAUCAUCGCUGAGAUGAUCUGGCCCGUCUUUAAGGAGCCUUUCAACCUGACAGCUUUCCCUCUCCUCUCAAAUCAUAUUAAGGCGGGGGAAUCCAUGGGGCAGGUGUGGCCUGGCACGUCGAGUUGUAUCAAACAGAUGUUUCCUCUUGGAGCAAACUCUCUGGGGUUUCCUCUUGAGUAUCACAUACCCAUCCUGGAGUUUCUGUUGUGCACCAGGGCUUCUCCCCUUGAAACCCUCUUCUCUUCCCCAGAUGCCAUUCCAGAUAUGUUACACAUAUUAUAUACACACUUUAGUCCACAAAAUAGUAGCAGAAGAUCGCUCCUGUUAUUGGUAACCUGCAUUUUUUUUUUUUUUAGUUCUGGAUGACAUUUUAAAAAAUAUUUUAUUUUAUUAUUAUUAAAGUAUAGUUGAUGUACAAUGUUUCUUCAAGUCCUUUUGUACAGCAGAGUGACCCAAUCACACACACUUCCCUGUGCUGUACAGCGGGACCCCAUUGUACAUCCAUUCUAGAUAUAACCGUUUGCACCCCCCAAGUGCCUAUCCAUCCCACUCCUUCCCCUUCCCCCCCAGUCUGCUCUUCUUGGCCAUAAUCUGUUUCCGUUUUUUGGUUGCUUAUUUGUUUGUUUGUUAUUUUUAGAUGGGAUCAUCCGUUCCAUAUUUUAGAUUCCACAAGUAAGUGAUGUCAUAUAUUUGUCUUUUUCUUUCUGGCUUACUUCACUCAGUAUGAGUCUCUAGAUCCAACCGUGUUGCUGCAAAUGGCAUUAGUUUUGUCUUUUUUAUGGAUGGGUAGUAUUCCAUUGUGUAUAUAUACCACAUCUUCUUAAUCCAUUCAUCUGUUGAUGGACAUUAAAGUUGUUUUCCACAUCUUGGCUAUUGUGAAUAGUGUUGCCAUGAACAUAGGGUUGCUUGUAUCUUUUUCAAUGAAAGUUUUAGCAAGAGUCACAGCUCGAGCCUAAACUCUAUUUGAGAAUUGGGUGUGUGAGUACACCUGGAAAAGAAGGAGGGGAGAGAGGCCCAUGUACCUGGGGAAGGGCCAGGGUGAGGAGAGGAGCUCUUUCGAAGGGAAAAGAGUCCAAAUGUGAUUUGUGUAGAGUACACAGGAAUGAUCCAGAGGACAGCUUGGUAUCUGUCGGAUGGUUCCUGGUUUAACUCUUAGGUGGUUCUGCAACAACAGAGCUAAUAUAAAUUAAAAGAGUCAUUUCUCCAAACUCCCCACAGGACACUGACUUACAAAUUGUUAACUACAUUGAGAAUUGCUGGUCCUUGAAGGAGAAGCAGUAGUACAGGCCAUAGCAGAUUGGUGACGGGACAGAGGCAUCUUUUUUGUCAGUAUAUUCUGUCUUUCACUUCGAUAAACAGUAACCUUGCUGCAGAUAUGGAUACUGUUAAGACUUGGACAACGGCAAUCUUACAGCCUCUGGAAGGCAACAGUGGGCAACGCUGGCAUGAAUGCCACUUUCAGCAGCCCUCCAGUGGGCUAACAGAGAAAGAGAGAAACCUGCUGAAGGAUUUCAGUGGUAUUUGAUAGGGAAUAAAGCUCCCACCAAGCAGGCUAGGGUCUACUAUUUUGUAUCAGUUGUUGGUGAGUCUGUUUGUUUUUGUUUUUGUUUUUUUUUUUUUCUUAUCUGGGGUAUAGUGAACAAACAGAUGAAAUUGAAUAGAAAACUGAGAUUCAAAGAAUUAAGCAAACUUGUAUAAAAUUCUAUACAGGGCUAAUAGGAUCAUUUGUCUACUCAUGCUAUCAUCUUCCUAUUUGGAAGGAGAAGAUUCCAGGGAAGAAAAAAAGAUUGUAAUUAUCUCACAGUAAUCGAUGGCAGGGUCUUGGAUAAAUUAGGGGAAGAUAAAAUUAAGAAUAUAGCUGGAGGAAUUAAUUAAAGACAUUUAGAAAAUGGAAUGUAAGGAAUUCAAGCAGAGGUAUUUCAGACAAAAGAUUAUAAGCAUAUGGAAUCAGAUAAGAAAGCUAGCUGAGUUUUCAGCAUACAAAGUAAUUAAAGAAAGACAUCUGGAACAGGAGAGAAAUAAGAGAAGCAGAGGACAUAAAAGAUAGGUUUGAGAUAAACUAAGGAGUGUUUUGGUAAGGCCAGAUGUUUUUUUUUUCUCCUUUGCUUGACAUAUAUUAUGUCUUUCUUAACCACAAUCCCAAACAUUGCACAUUUCAACAUGUAUAUUUGUCUCUAGAAAUAUCUAGGACCUAUAUAAAUGUAUCCGCGAAUGAUUCAAAGAUCAACGUGCCCCUUUUUCAUGGUUAACUUAGCUUUUGUCUAGGUUCCCACAAAAGUCUGAAAUGUAUACUCAUGAUUACAUAUUUUGGGCCUCAAAAAUGACAACAAAAAUGGCUCUUUAACAUAGUUUUCUAUUGCAGUAGGAAACAACAUCCAGUAAAGUACCCCUCCAAAUGUCUUUCAUCAUGCUCUUCUCAUUAUGUGAGGCAAUUUUGAUGAUGAGGGAUGGAAGUGCAUUAUCCUUUUGUUCCCUGUUAUACUGAGGGCUAAUCACAUCAGUAUGAAUGGUGAGAAUAGGUCAUUUUACAGGGAUUCUUCUCAUUUGUGUUUAGAAGCAUAACUUCAGCUUGUGGAAUGUCUUUGGUCAUUGCCUAAAUUGUGUGAUGGUAUCGCUGGCUGCAGCUGUGUUGUGACUGGGGGAAGGCAUUGAAGAAAGGCCUGCUCACCCCAAAUAUCUUUCCCUCUGGCUGACUGUAUGUGGGAAUCACCAAUGACUGUCAUUCUCCAAAAGGACAAGAAACUCAGUGAAUGAAUAGAUUUUAUGGUAAAAUGUCUCCUUUUGACUUGACUAGGAAUAUAUUGGUUAUUCACAGGGAAUUUGGGAUACCAAAUUCUUGGAUGGGAACACAGUGCAACUAAAUUCUCUCUGGCACAAAAGAGAGCAAUGAUACAGAAUCAGUCUAGUCAGGGAAACAACCUCACAACAAAGGGGUCUGUGGUGCUGGGCUCCAUCAUUUCCAAGGUUUACUGAUAAAAUAUGUGUGGUAUUGCUGGCUGUGACUCUGAGCAAGUUGUUGUCCUCAGAUUGGUUUUUCAGGAAAAAAAAAAA